UACGUAGGGUGCGAGCGUUAAUCGGAAUUACUGGGCGUAAAGCGUGCGCAGGCGGUUUUGUAAGUCUGACGUGAAAUCCCCGGGCUCAACCUGGGAAUUGCGUUGGAGACUGCAAGGCUGAGAUCUGGCAGAGGGGGGGUAGAAUUCCACGUGUAGCAGUGAAAUGCGUAGAUAUGUGGAGGAACACCGAUGGCGAAGGCAGCCCCCUGGGUCAAGAUUGACGCUCAUGCACGAAAGCGUGGGGAGCAAACGAGGAUUAGAACGG
rnacentral:rRNA from 1 species